rnacentral:rRNA from 1 species
AGAGUUUGAUCAUGGCUCAGAUGGACAGCUGGCGGCAGGCCUAACACAUGCAAGUCGAGCGGAAACGAGUUAUCUGAACCUUCGGGGAACGAUAACGGCGUCGAGCGGCGGACGGGUGAGUAAUGCCUAGGAAAUUGCCCUGAUGUGGGGGAUAACCAUUGGAAACGAUGGCUAAUACCGCAUGAUGCCUACGGGCCAAAGAGGGGGACCUUCGGGCCUCUCGCGUCAGGAUAUGCCUAGGUGGGAUUAGCUAGUUGGUGAGGUAAGGGCUCACCAAGGCGACGAUCCCUAGCUGGUCUGAGAGGAUGAUCAGCCACACUGGAACUGAGACACGGUCCAGACUCCUACGGGAGGCAGCAGUGGGGAAUAUUGCACAAUGGGCGCAAGCCUGAUGCAGCCAUGCCGCGUGUAUGAAGAAGGCCUUCGGGUUGUAAAGUACUUUCAGUCGUGAGGAAGGUAGUGUAGUUAAUAGCUGCAUUAUUUGACGUUAGCGACAGAAGAAGCACCGGCUAACUCCGUGCCAGCAGCCGCGGUAAUACGGAGGGUGCGAGCGUUAAUCGGAAUUACUGGGCGUAAAGCGCAUGCAGGUGGUUUGUUAAGUCAGAUGUGAAAGCCCGGGGCUCAACCUCGGAAUAGUAUU